rnacentral:rRNA from 1 species
UACGUAGGUGACCAGCGUUGUCCGGAUUUACUGGGCGUAAAGAGCGCGCAGGCGGUCGUUCAAGUCGAGUGUGAAAGCCCCCGGCUCAACUGGGGAGGGUCACUCGAUACUGAUCGACUGGAAGGCAGGAGAGGGAAGCGGAAUUCCCGGUGUAGUGGUGAAAUGCGUAGAUAUCCGGAGGAACACCGGUGGCGAAGGCGGCUUCCUGGACCGAUACUGACGCUGAGGCGCGAAAGCUAGGGGAGCAAACGGG